rnacentral:rRNA from 1 species
GUUAGCUGGUCUGAGAGGAUGACCAGCCYCACUGGAACUGAGACACGGUCCMGACUCCUACGGGAGGCAGCAGUGGGGAAUAUUGGACAAUGGGGGCAACCCUGAUCCAGCAAUGCCGCGUGUGUGAAGAAGGCCUGAGGGUUGUAAAGCACUUUCAGUGGGGAGGAGGAUUGACNGGUUAAGAGCUAGUUAAUUGGACGUUACCCACAGAAGAAGCACCGGCUAACUCCGUGCCAGCAGCCGCGGUAAUACGGAGGGUGCAAGCGUUAAUCGGAAUUACUGGGCGUAAAGGGUGCGUAGGUGGUUAAUUAAGUUAUCUGUGAAAUCYCYGGGCUCAACCUGGGCAGGUCAGAUAA